rnacentral:lncRNA from 1 species
CCAAGGUAACACAAACACAUCAUAAGCAGGAACAAAGUAGUCAUAUACAACAGAUAGCACUAGAGUUUUAAGCUCACAAAGAGCUUCACCAAAAUAUCCAUCCAGAGCAAAAACACAAAAUAACAUGACAUUGUUUCAACAGUGAUCAAAGUAAAAUGGAAUGGUUAAGAUGUUGAAGGAGAAGGGUGGGAUAAAGGUUGGGUCAUGGCAAGGAGUUGGAGAACACGAUCCAUACGGGCAUUGGACUCACUUUAUUGCUGCACCAGCGGAUCCUUUAAUCAAGCAACUUUUCCCUGAGACAUAGCUAGAGCAUUGCGAGAAGCUUCAAGUUCAGCACGGAGGGUCUCAUUCUGUUCCUUGGCAGCAUGUAGGUCAGAGGCGGAUGUACAGUGUGCCGAGGGGGUUCAUCCGAACCCCCUCGAUAAAAAAAUUACACUGCAUAUAUAAGAUUGAUUUUUUUGUUUACGUGUAUAUAUUUAAAAUUGAACCCCCUGAGCAUAUGUCAAAGGAGUAGCUUAAUGGUAAACUGGGUUCAAGAAAGCGCGUUUUGUGGGCUUGGUCGCGGGUUUGAAUCCAGCGAGCAGCAACCUUUUUUUUCUAAUUUUGAAGCAUUUUUGCUGGCUUAAAUUUUAAAUGUUUUUAUUAAAAAUAAAUAGAAAGACGACAUUUCAUUAAUGACUAAAUUUUUUAUAUUUUAAAUCUUUAAUUGAAAAGUCAACAAAUAAAAAAUCCUCUNNNNNNNNNNNNNNNNNNNNNNUGAUUCGAUCAUUGAUGGCAACCUCGGUAAGUUCUUGUAUUUUUUGUUUUUUUUUAAAAAAAAAUCAGAAUUCUAUAUGUGCAGUGUGCCAAAAAGAAUUUUUGUGAGUUUUUGCUUUGAUUUGUGUUUAUUGUCAGUCUUUCUAAUGUUAAAUUUGUGCUUGCUCUCCAUUUGCACUUUCAGGAGCCGGAGACAAUUCUAAAGGAAUUGAAGAACUUGUAGAAUUUUUGAAUGAGUUGUGCUACUUUAUUAUCAUUUUAUAGAUAUGUACUUUGAAUUUGUUUCUUAUGAUAAGUUGUAAUUGUAAGAAAUUAUUUGAACUAAGGAUUUUUUUGUCAACCCGUUUGUUAUUCAAUCCGUUCAUAUAUGAUCCGACCCGACCCGUUUAUUUAUGGAUAUUAUUAGUGUGAUUAAUUUUUUUUUGAACCCCCUCGAUAGAAUUCCUGGCUCCGCCACUGAUGUAGGUGGUUCAACAGAGUGGAAGCUGGGCCAAGAACACGGGGUGGAGUAGCAGGAGCCUGAUUACCUUCAUCAUACAACCGGCAAGUAGCAAGAGUAGAUCUGGUGAUCAUAUCACAACUAACCAAAGCCCUCCCCUCGCCCAAGGGGACAUCAAAAGUUGUAAACAUAGUGGUGAUGAGAUUUCCAAAAGCCAAUUGAUGAGCACUAGGUUUAGGAUCAGUUACCCUAGCCAUAUGUUUAAUCAUCAGGGAUAGACAGUCUAUAGGAUCCUUAUUCUCCAAAGCAUGUGCAAUCCCCAUAUCCCUUAAAGAGGCCUCAUGCCUCCUCUUACCCCUAGGAAAAACACCCUGAUGGACAAAUUCAAACAACAGUUUGUGAACUGGGGACAUCUC